CUUAUUCAUGUAUGAUAUCUGGUGGUAACUUAGCACUUACCUCUAGUGCCAUGUUUCAACCCAUCACACUUUUUGUUAAUGACAGCAUUUCUGCUUGGUUGCCCAGCAUCCUACUUCAGCAUUUUAUUUACAGACUGUCCUGGCUGUCGAAACUCUGCAAGCCACUCUUCGUGGAUAUGCAGAAAACUAGCGCCAAGCCACUCCAGUCAGUGUAAGUCCCACUGCUUGGGCCCAUCACUUAGUGGUCGCUGGGUCCAGCUGCACUUGAUGCUGUACCAAGGGCACAGGUCCGUGCCAAAAGGCACAUCACUGCACUGAUAGUGACAAGUUGGGGCUUCACAGGUAGAGGGUGAUGUUGCUUAUGACAGCUUGCAAGGAUUCACCACAUGGCCCAGUAACACAGCUGCCAUUGUGUUUAAAAUCAUGUACACGCAUAGUCCUGUAACAGCAUGUGCAGUGGUAGGUAGGCAGACACUGUCUGGGCAGACACUGAUGGGUCCAACACAUUUCCUCAAGGAGGUCUAUGUGCCCACCAUUCCCACAGGUUCCCAAAUAUCACCUGCAUGCCUCCUCUCUCCUCUGGUGAUGUAAUCCCCAAAUUCUGAGGGUCACUGCAGGAGUUCUCUGGACUGAUUUGGAUAUCUGCUUGGGAUGUUUUCCAAUUCCCUGGGCUGAAGGGGAAGUCCACCCCUGAGACAGAAAAUUGGCAUUCAUCAUACUCACAGUGCUGGCAGCCCUCCCAGUGAGUAUCCCAAGUGGCCUGAUGUUGCAAGAGGGGAUGAGCUGAGAAGGGAUCUCCAGCUCCUUUAGCUGCAUUGGCCACACACACUUCAUCCCUGGUUACAGGUUGGAGUCCUUCCUGUGUGGUUUAUGUUAGAGCCCUGGUGAGAUCAGUGGAGUCAGUCGUGCUGCUAAUUACCCCGUUUUCUGGUUGCAGCAAGUCUAUGUGCAAGCUUGGGCCUCUAGUUGUUACCCAGUCAGCAUGGUUAUUUGUCUACUUUUUCCCUUUUGCUUCCACCUUCUCCUGUGUUGACACCCCAUGCCUGUGUUAGUGUUGCAUAGGUCUCCCCUACAAUGUGUUUCCUGCCUCUUAGUAUCACAGGCCACUUUGCAGUGCAGAAGGCUCUCAGUGACAUUAGCUCCCUUGGUGCAGCUGGGGUCAUGAUCUUGCAUGAACCAGGACAGAUGUCAGCAUGGGCUCCAAAUGGGGCAUGGUCCACAGCAUCGGCCUUUUCCCCUCUUCAUCUACUCUCCAGGGCAUAUUUCGCUAGCCUAGGUAGGACAGUGCUUCAACCCUAUAGCUGCCAGGUUAACAUUAAUAAAUGAAUUAGACUCCUGCAAAUAGCACCAUCGCAGGGGUGAGUGACAUCUUUGCACCUGAACUGCAAGCAGUUUAAAAACAGGAUGCCCAAGUGGGUUGUUAUUUCUUCGGGUAACCCACAGUUUUGCUUCUCCCUUCUUAGGUGGGAGGAAACACUUCCCACACUGCAUCAGCAGCAUACCAGGCUUGAGAUAAGAAUGAGACUGGAGGUUUCAGACAAGGGUCUCCAGGCUGGUUUUCCCUGUAACAAUCUCCCAUCUUCUUCCUGAUGGUUGAUUGCUGCAUGCAUUUUGCUGAACCCUGGUAUGCUUCCCUCAUUUUUGUGUUUCAGUCUCCUCGUGUCACACUUGCUACAAGGCUUGGGCAAGGAGUAUGUGACAGAUGUGUGGGCUGGGGGAGUCACAGUAGUACAGGUGGGGUAAUUUCAAAGUGAGAGUAGAGAAUGGCACAGCCAAAGCUAUCUCUUUAGGGAGAGAUAUCUUUCCCUAUGGGGUUAUUAGUGAGUUUCUGUGUAAGAAACCUGGAAACCACCCGGUCCCACAGCAACAAGAGCAAGUGCCUCCUGCCACAAGUGCCUCUCCUUCCAUAUCUGUGCCAGGGACAUGCUUGUAUUUCAGCAGUGGGUUCUGGGCCAGCUCCAAGUGGGUUGUCUUUCUUGACCGGGUCUAGCAUGGAGUCUACCUCUUCUUGCCUUUAAGGAAUGUAGCCUGCCUACCACCUUGACCAGGACCUUGCUCAGUAGGGCAGUAUUUAUAUGGUGUGGACAGACCAGCCUGUCCUGCAAGAGCCAAUGGCUGCACCUACCCAUGCUACCCCCAACAGUAGGUAUGGCUCAUAGUGGGUGUUUUGGUACCUGAUACAGAGGUAGUGGCAGAGGAGUGCCCAAAGGGUGCACUUGCCAUUCGUGAACAAGACUAUGGGGCUUGGCACAGGACCCUGCUUUGUUCAGGUCCCAUAUGGCUGUGUAAGUAGCAGACAUCCCUUCUUUGUGUCUCUUCAGAGCCACUGGUCUUAGUGAUUGUUGCCUUUAGCAUGCAUACCUGUAAAACAAAGUGGAAUUCACUUUUCCCAAGUCCAAACUCUUCAGUUUAUAGGAUCACACUUCCCAUGCAUCACUCUCUUUAUGUGAAGGUACACGAUCACCUGCCUUCACUACUGCUUUACCAAUCUGCACUAUUUUGCUGGAGCCAUCCAUGAAAAGCUGUGUAUUUCUGAUCCAUCCCUCUGAAAGGGUGCCACUAGGCUGUGGCUGCUUUGGGGAGGGGUCUGUACUCAUCCUUAAGUGCAGACAUGCUGUGUUUCAGCAGAUUUUUACACUAACAGAGCUCACAUCUUGCCACAGUGGGAGGCAGCCAUGUAUCUUCCCCACUUCUGUGAACAGGGUCAAUGCAUUCACAUGUGGGCUGGGAACAUUUGCUGCCUGGUCUCCCACCAGGGCUCCUGUCUGUUAUAGUGCUCAUUAGGGAAAUGUAGCACAGAGCUGUUGCCUGCAGAGCUGUUCCUGUCU